UAUCAUCGCUAAAUCCACAAGAUCUUUUAUAUUCUCUCUCUGUUUACUUUUUCUUAUUCCUUUCUGUUGAAGAGCGUAGGCGCGAAACUUAAAAGAUUUCCUCACUUUCCCGAGCGUCAGCGGUCAGAGGGAAGAAAUGGAAAACCCGACAUUGAGUAAUACUUUCAAGAACGUCCACCAUCUACUCCACUUCUUUUCACAUCCACCCACACUUUGAAAGUACGCAAGGUCGUUGUGAUUUCUCACCAUAUAUAUAUGUAUAUAUAUAUAUAUAUAUAUAUAUAUAUAUAUAUAUAUAUAUGUGUGUGUGUGUGUGUGUGUGUGUGUGUGUGUGAUACAUGCUUCAAAUACUUGAUUCAGUGCCUGAACUGAAGAUACAGACAGGGUGAGAACGUGGCAUGAGUUUGUAUAUAUAUAUAUAUAUAUAUAUAUAUAUAUAUAUAUAUAUAUAUAUAUAUAUAUAUACAUAUAUACAUAUAUAUAUAUAUAUACAUAUAUCUAUCUAUCUAAAUAUAUAUAUAUGUAUAUAUAUAUAUACACACAAAUUUUACUUAAAUUUUGAAUUAAAGAAAAAAGGUUUAGAAAGUAGGCAUUAAAUGCAGUGUCCAAAACUUGUUUCAGGGUAAGUCUCAGGUAAAGUGCGUGCAGAGCACGUUCAAUGCUUAUUGCUACCAGGCGUCAUCAGUGAUACUAUGCGUUCGUCGUUGGAUUUACGUUCCGAGGUGCGCGUAGGGUAUAUUUUAAAUGAUUAAUACAGAAGCAAUUAUUAGCACAACAAGGUGUCUGAACUGCUGGAAUAUCAUCAUCAGCAUAUAACUUCAGGCGAAAAUGAAAUGUAAAUCUGCGAACAUUUGAAGCAUCUUACGUCACCUGAUGAGGCUCUUUUGCAGUGUGCGUUGCAUCUGGUGUCAUUACGUCAUCCCAUGCCCACUAGGGAGCAGUGCAGAAUGAAGCCGAGACGAUUGUUGCGCUAAUAAAUGCUUCUAGUUACACGCCGUCUCCUGUAUUACUCCUUUAAUAUGUAUAUAUGUAUAUAUAUAUAUAUAUAUAUAUAUAUAUAUAUAUAUAUAUAUAUAUAUAUAUAUGUGUGUGUGUGUGUGUGUGUGUGUGUGUGUGUGUGUGUGUGUUCAUAUAUUCAUAUGUCUAGAUAUAUGUAUAUGUAUAUAUAUAUAGUUCAAAGUUACAGAAAAACAAAAGACGAAGAUAGGUGUAUGAACAACAACUUGGGAUUCUCAAUAUGAAAGUGAGAAAGUCCUUUAAGUUUCGAGUCUACGCUCUUCAACAGAAAGGAAUAAGAGAAAAUAAACAGAGAGAAUAAAAAAGUUGUGGAUUUAGCGGUACACACACAUAUAUAUACAUACAUAUAUAUAUAUAUAUAUAUAUAUAUAUAUAUAUAUAUAUAUAUAUAUAUAUAUAUACACACGUUGCUCAUAUAUGUAUAUUCAUGCAUCUUUACAUAUGUAGAAAUGUACACACGCAUGCAUGAGUACUAGCAUCGGCAUCAUUACAUACGUCUCUCUCUAUAUAUAUAUGAAUCUGUGUGUGUAUGUAUGUGUGUGUGAGAGAGAGAGGGAGAGAGAGAGAGAGAGAGAGAGAGAGAGAGUGCACUUACUGCAUGCUAUACUUCGUAAAUGACUUACAUAUUGAAGAAUCCCUUUGAUGGCUUAUAUCUGUAAUCACCUGAUCAAACGUGUUCUUUUCUGGUUUGGGGAAUCCUAGCUUCUCAAGAUUGUUACUGAGGCAGUUGAUCACGUAUCCAAUAAUUAUAGCUGGAAAUUUGCGUGUGCAGGCAUGUACUUAAGUACGUACAACUUUUUUCCUUCUUUAAGCGUCAGCUUAAUAGUGAUUUCAAAUUUUACCAAAAGGCCUGCAAUUUUAGGGGAGGGGAUGAGUCGAAUACAUCGACCUCAGUACUCAACUGGUACUUAUUUUAUCGACCCAGAAAGGAUGAAAGGCAAAGUCGACCUUGGCGAAAUUUGAACUUAGAACGUACAGACGAACUAAACGCUGCUAUGUAUUUUGCGAGGCGUGUUAACAGUUCUGCCAGCUCGCUGCCUUAAACAUCAACUUCAUAAUGAUUUCAAAUUUUUGCCACAAGGGCAGCUUGGAGGAGGGGAUUAAAUCGAUGUCAUCGAUACCAGUGCGCAAGAGGCAAAGUCGACUUCUGCGAAAUUUGAACUCAGAAUGUAAAGACAGACGAAAUACUGCUAAGCAUUUCGCCCGGCGUGCUAACGAUUCUGCCAGCUCGCUGCCUUAAGUGUCAGGUUCCGUGCACUUUCGUUGUUUUUUUUUUUGUUGGUUUUUUUUGGGGUGGGUUUUCUUUCCUUUGGAUUUUUUUAUCUGCCUUAUGUAUUUAUGUAUGUAAAUCUGUAUGUUCGAUCUUAAUUUUAUUUUUCGAGUUUCUCACUAAUGGAGAAACAGCUUGUGUGUGUGUGUGUGUAUAAGCAUAUAUAUAUAUGCAUAUCUGUGUGUGUGUGUAGACGAAAUGGCGCAGUGGUUA
rnacentral:lncRNA from 1 species